UACGAAGGGGGCUAGCGUUGCUCGGAAUCACUGGGCGUAAAGGGUGCGUAGGCGGGUCUUUUAAGUCAGGGGUGAAAUCCUGGAGCUCAACUCCAGAACUGCCUUUGAUACUGAAGAUCUUGAGUUCGGGAGAGGUGAGUGGAACUGCGAGUGUAGAGGUGAAAUUCGUAGAUAUUCGCAAGAACACCAGUGGCGAAGGCGGCUCACUGGCCCGAUACUGACGCUGAGGCACGAAAGCGUGGGGAGCAAACAGGAUUAGAUGACCCGGGUAGU
rnacentral:rRNA from 1 species